UGACCGCUGGCGGCGUGCCUAAUACAUGCAAAUCGAGCGAACAGAUGAGGAGCUUGCUCCUCUGACGUUAGCGGCGGACGGGUGAGUAACACGUGGAUAACCUACCUAUAAGACUGGGAUAACUUCGGGAAACCGGAGCUAAUACCGGAUAAUAUAUUGAACCGCAUGGUUCAAUAGUGAAAGACGGUUUUGCUGUCACUUAUAGAUGGAUCCGCGCCGCAUUAGCUAGUUGGUAAGGUAACGGCUUACCAAGGCAACGAUGCGUAGCCGACCUGAGAGGGUGAUCGGCCACACUGGAACUGAGACACGGUCCAGACUCCUACGGGAGGCAGCAGUAGGGAAUCUUCCGCAAUGGGCGAAAGCCUGACGGAGCAACGCCGCGUGAGUGAUGAAGGUCUUCGGAUCGUAAAACUCUGUUAUUAGGGAAGAACAAAUGUGUAAGUAACUAUGCACGUCUUGACGGUACCUAAUCAGAAAGCCACGGCUAACUACGUG
rnacentral:rRNA from 1 species